CAUUUGUCCAGCAUGGGCAGCUCCCUGGGUUCAAAUCCUGUACUGAGAAGAACAAAAAAAGACUUGACUGAGGAAGAAGAGAGGGUACAUUUAUAGCAGAAAGGGGCCAUAUCACUAACCAAUCCAGGGACAGAUCAAUGGGAUCCGCUGGGCACACUGAAAGCCCAGCCCCCAAACCUUACCCCAUAAAACCUGAGGUGACAGCUGCUGAGGCUGCUUUCAGGGGCACUCAAGGGGAGCCAAGGACUGCGUGUGCACAGCCCCAGCACCCACAGCACCAGCCAAGGGAGCAGCGAGUGGUCCGAUGUCGGGCUGCACUGGCCUUCCCAAGUUCCCAGGGGUGAGGCAGCGUGCUGAGGAGGGCAGGAGGGACGGACUCAGUGAGCUUAAGAGCUCAAGGCUCUCCAGCAUCACCCCGUGGCACAGGCCUCUGAGCACACUGUGAAGCCUCUCCUCCUCCUGGGAAAAAUGCGUGGCCACAUCCUCAAGUGUCACCAAACCCUGCAAUGGAUGGGUUCAGCCGAUCCUGGGGGCAGAAGUAUGGACAGAUAGACCCUGCCAGGCCCUUGACUGGGAAGGGUUCUGCCACACUUCCACUGCAUCAAACUUCCCCAGAGGCCCACAGCACAGUGCACAUAUCCUGAUUCCACCUUCCUUCAGACCUGUUUCAGUCACCUUUUCACUGCUGUGACCAGAAGACCUGACAAGAAGAAGUAGAGAAGGAAAAGUUAUUUGGGGGGUUUUCCUUCAUAGAUGGCUACUCCAUUGCUUUGGGCUUGAAGUGAGGAAGGACAUCAUGGCAGAGGGUGUGGCAGAGGAAAGCAGCUCAGGGUAGCCCGGAAGCAGAAAGCUCCAUUCCACAAAGACACAAUAUAGGCCCCAAAGGCUGCUCCCAGUGACCCACCUCCUCUAGCCACACCCUACAGUUACCCCUCAAGUGGAUUAAUGCACCAAUUAGGUCAAGGCUUUCAUAACCCAAUCACUUCACUUCUGAACCAUCUUGUAUUGUCUCACAGCUGAGCUUUGGGGGCCCCUCAUAUCUAAACCAUAACAGCCUCUACCUCCGAGGGUCUGGUUGCUUCUUACUUUACUAUUAGACACUGUGUCCAGUCUGCAGUAACAAUAGGCAGGUGACCAGCCUCCCAGCAGCUGGGGAGGCUGAAGCAGGAGGAUGGCAAGUUCAAAGCCAGCUUGCAGAACUUAGUGAGACCCUGUCUCAAAGUAAAAUAUAAAAAAGGGGGGCUGGGGUUGUAGCUCAGUGGUAGAGUGCUUGCCUAGCAUGUGCAAGGCGCUGGGUUCAAUCCUCAGCACCAUGUAAAAAUAAUUAAAUAUAAAUAAAAGUAUUGUGUCCAACUAUAUAUAUAUAUAUAUAUAUAUAUAUAUAUAUAUUUAAAAAUAAAAAUAUAUAAAAUAAAAAGGGACGCAGUUGUAGUCAGAGGCUGGCCUAGCCUGCAGGAGGCUCUGUGUUCAGUCCCCAAUAGGAAGGAAGGAAGAGGCAGGAAAAGAAUAAAGGAGAAAAAAGGAAAGCCCGAGGCUCCAGGGACAGCAGACACACAAGCCCACAGAAGGAGAGUCAACCCAGACCCAGGCCCUGCCGACACUCUUACCUACCUCAUCGCCGUGCCACGGGCUCCAUCCCCAGUCACUCGCCCUUCAGGAGAGUUGGCUCCCACCCCUGCUCUGCAUCCCUCUCCUGAUACAGGCGCCCUCCACAGAAGGCACUGUGACACCAGCACCUUCCUGGUUUAAGAACUAGACAGCUGUUCUCACCGUCCAGACCCUUGGGGCACUUAUUGCCCCCCCCCAAUCCAACACCUAGGUGCGUUCUGGUCCACACAGCAGUUCUGACUACUCAGAAGUCUCCACCCAGGAGAGCUGAGAGCUUCUGCCCACGCAGAGCCGCCACUCAGCAGCCUCUGGGACAUCUCGCAAUACUGGGCACAAACCCAAGCCUGGACCUUCCUCCUGAAACACAGACUGGGCUCUCAGUGUCAGUGGUUACCCCACCCUUUCCAGAAACAGUGUCAGAGAGCACGUACCAAAUGCAGGACACAACGCCCCACAAUGUCUGGCCCUGCAGGGAGCAGGCUGGCAGCACCACGCGAACUACAUUACCCAGAAAUCCGGGUCCCAUGACACCCUGAAGCUCGACAAUGCAGAAGGCCCAGUCUCAGACAAGCUAGUCCUUAGAGGCAAAACAGAUGAAUGGCUUACCCGGUUGAGGGCAGGCAGGAAUGGGAUUUGACUGCUAAGGAGUAUUAAGUUUCUUUUUAAAAAAAUGUUGUUUGAUACUUUAAACCACAGCUCUGCUGUCCAUGAAUUGCAUGGAUGGGCAAA
rnacentral:lncRNA from 1 species